rnacentral:pre_miRNA from 1 species
CCACAGAUCACCUGGUAGUCUUGUUAUGAUGCAGAUUCUAAUUCAGGAGGCCUGGGGAGGCUGGGAUUCUGCAGUCCUCAUGAGCUCCAGGUGAUGCUGUG